rnacentral:rRNA from 1 species
AACGAACGCUGGCGGCAUGCCUAACACAUGCAAGUCGAACGAGACCUUCGGGUCUAGUUGCGCACGGGUGCGUAACGCGUGGGAACCUGCCCUUAGGUUCGGAAUAACUCCCCGAAAGGGGUGCUAAUACCGGAUAAUGUCUUCGGACCAAAGAUUUAUCGCCUUUGGAUGGGCCCGCGUUGGAUUAGCUAGUUGGUAGGGUAAAAGCCUACCAAGGCGACGAUCCAUAGCUGGUCUGAGAGGAUGAUCAGCCACACUGGGACUGAGACACGGCCCAGACUCCUACGGGAGGCAGCAGUGGGGAAUAUUGGACAAUGGGCGAAAGCCUGAUCCAGCAAGGCCGCGUGAGUGAUGAAGGCCUUAGGGUUGUAAAGCUCUUUUACCCGGGAUGAUAAUGACAGUACCGGGAGAAUAAGCGCCGGCUAACUCCGUG